rnacentral:lncRNA from 1 species
AGUAGCAUGUGGUAGAACAGUCCUGAUCACCUCAUAGUGGCUGGAAAUCAGAGAAAGAGAAAGGAGAGGCCAGGGUCCCAAUGUCCCCUUCAAGAGCACACUCCCAAUGACGUAACUUCUGUUUAGUAGCCCUGCCUCCUACAGGGUCCAGUAUCUUCCAGUAGUGCUUGGCUGGCAACCAAGCCUUUAAUGAUACAUGGGCCUUCGGGGGAUAUUUUAUACCCAAACUAUGGCAUAUGCGUUGUAUGAGUGAACUGCCAAUACCCUGGGGGAGACAGAGCACUAAACAAGCUGGACUCGUUCCCUGAGCUAUCAGAGCUCAUGGUUCAGUGCACACACUGUGCAUGGUCGUUCCGUCUUCUGCCUGUUCUAGACUGGGAGCUGCUUGAAGGCAGGUGCAAGUCUUACUGAUUUCAGAGUGUGUGUGUGUGUGUGUGUGUGUGUGUGUGUAUCUCCCUAGAGCACGCUCUGGCGUGUUCUCUGGAUUUGUGUGCUGAAUUGCUGAAUCAAUUCAUUUACUUUACAGAUGAAAACUGAGACUGUCAGAAGCUUAAGAACACAGUAAGAUGGGAGCCGUGUGGGGAUGAGAAUCCAGCAACCUGUGUCCCAG